rnacentral:rRNA from 1 species
CGUGAGUGCAAGCGAAUCCCAAAAAUAACGUCUCAGUUCGGAUUGUAGUCUGCAACUCGACUACAUGAAGCUGGAAUCGCUAGUAAUCGCGGAUCAGAAUGCCGCGGUGAAUACGUUCCCGGGUCUUGUACACACCGCCCGUCACACCAUGGGAGUCAGUAACGCCCGAAGCCGGUGACCUAACCGAAAGGGAGGAGCCGUCGAAGGUGGGACCGAUAACUGGGGUGAAGUCGUAACAAGGUAAC